UGCAGUCGACGGUAGCACAGAGAGCUUGCUCUCGGGUGACGAGUGGCGGACGGGUGAGUAAUGUCUGGGAAACUGCCUGAUGGAGGGGGAUAACUACUGGAAACGGUAGCUAAUACCGCAUAACGUCGCAAGACCAAAGAGGGGGACCUUCGGGCCUCUUGCCAUCAGAUGUGCCCAGAUGGGAUUAGCUAGUAGGUGGGGUAACGGCUCACCUAGGCGACGAUCCCUAGCUGGUCUGAGAGGAUGACCAGCCACACUGGAACUGAGACACGGUCCAGACUCCUACGGGAGGCAGCAGUGGGGAAUAUUGCACAAUGGGCGCAAGCCUGAUGCAGCCAUGCCGCGUGUAUGAAGAAGGCCUUCGGGUUGUAAAGUACUUUCAGCGGGGAGGAAGGUGUUGUGGUUAAUAACCGCAGCAAUUGACGUUACCCGCAGAAGAAGCACCGGCUAACUCCGUGCCAGCAGCCGCGGUAAUACGGAGGGUGCAAGCGUUAAUCGGAAUUACUGGGCGUAAAGCGCACGCAGGCGGUCUGUCAAGUCGGAUGUGAAAUCCCCGGGCUCAACCUGGGAACUGCAUUCGAAACUGGCAGGCUAGAGUCUUGUAGAGGGGGGUAGAAUUCCAGGUGUAGCGGUGAAAUGCGUAGAGAUCUGGAGGAAUACCGGUGGCGAAGGCGGCCCCCUGGACAAAGACUGACGCUCAGGUGCGAAAGCGUGGGAAGCAAACAGGAUUAGAUACCCUGGUAGUCCACGCCGUAAACGAUGUCGAUUUGGAGGUUGUGCCCUUGAGGCGUGGCUUCCGGAGCUAACGCGUUAAAUCGACCGCCUGGGGAGUACGGCCGCAAGGUUAAAACUCAAAUGAAUUGACGGGGGCCCGCACAAGCGGUGGAGCAUGUGGUUUAAUUCGAUGCAACGCGAAGAACCUUACCUGGUCUUGACAUCCACAGAACUUUCCAGAGAUGGAUUGGUGCCUUCGGGAACUGUGAGACAGGUGC
rnacentral:rRNA from 1 species